UUAAUGUUGUUAUUUUUCAGAGUUAAAAAUCUGCGGUUUUUAAUUGCACCUGAGGAUGCCCCCCUGCUCUGUUCCUAGCUGGUGUUCGACAGGCGGAACGGAAGGAUUGAAGAGCUGACCACAAUACCUCCCAAGCCACUGUGCUUCUUACAGCAUGGCGCCAAUACCCGUCCCUUUGAGAAGUGGAGUCUUUGUUCCCUUCCCUUGAGUUUUGGCAGGACUCUGACUAUGUCAGAGGUAAAUUUAUGUGACUUCCGAGACUGGGUCAUGAAAGACAACACCGGUUCUGCCCAGUUCCUUAGAAUGAAGGAAGGCUGGCACCAUGGUGUGAGGAAGCCGAAGCCACACAGAGGCUGCACGUGGAUGCUCCAGCCAACUGCCCCAGCUGAGGCUCAGCCGCCAGACAUGGGCAUGAAGACAUCUUCAGAACAACUCUGGCCCCAGCCGCCGUGAUGGCAGGAGAGGCUCCCAGAGAGAACCAGCCAACCCCCAGGACUGUGGGACAUAGUAACAAAAUCUUGUUGGGGGUGAUAUUUUACCUAAAGAACAAUGAACAAAAAAUGCUGAUGUGUCA